rnacentral:piRNA from 1 species
GCCUAUCCCAUUGUCCAAGUGUCCAAG